rnacentral:rRNA from 1 species
AGCGAACGCUGGCGGCGUGCUUAAUACAUGCAAGUCGAAGGAAGUGGCGCACGGGUGAGUAAUAUAUAGCUAAUCUGCCCCUUGCUGGAGGACAACAGUUAGAAAUGAAUGCUAAUACCCCAUAGCAAGGGAUGAGACUAUCUCGUGUGAGGUAGUCGGUGGGGUAACGGCCUACCGAGGCCAUGACGCGUAACUGGUCUGAGUGGCUGAUCAGUCACAUUGGGACUGAGACGCGGUCCAAACUCCUACGUGAGGCAGCAGUGGGGAAUAUUGCGCAAUGGGGGAGACCCGGACGCAACAACGCCGCUUGGAGGGUAACACUUUUCGGAGCGUAAACUCCUUUUGUUAGGGAAGGGGUACCUAACGAAUAAGCACCGGCUAACUCCGUGCCAGCAGCCGCGGUAAUAC